AAUGAACCUAUUAAAGUCUUGUGUCGGAGAGUUGAAAUAUUAAAUGAACACAGAGGAGAGAAGUUAAACAGGGUAAAGAUGGUGGAAAAGGAAAAGGAUGCCUUAGAAGGAGAGAAAAACAUAGCUAUCGAAUUUCUUACCUUGGAAAAUGAAAUAUUUAGAAAAAAGAAUCAUGUUUGUCAAUAUUAUAUGUAAGUGCCUUGAUUGAUAUUAUCAAUUUUUAUAUUAGUUUUUAACCGUUAAGUCAAAGCCCUUCUCUUUUCCUAGAGAAACAUGAAGACUGAAGUGAAAAAAAAAUCUCUAAACAUUGUUUUGUGUGACUGGAUGUGUUAGCUCAUGCCUGUAAUUCCAGCACUUUGGGAGGCUAAGGCAGGAGGAUCACUUGAGGCUGGGAGUUCAAGACCAGCCUGGGCAACAUAGCAAGACCCCAUCUCUACAAAAAAAGAAAUUAUGUGGUGAAUUUAUCCAAUGUGAGGACUAUCUGGCUGUGACACCUGUCACCCCGUUGAUCACCAGGGUUGAAUUUAUUAAAUUAGGCAUAUUUGUCAAUUCAUUGAAGUUGACUUUUUAGUAUCCUGCUUUAAGUUGGGAGUUAUGAGUUGCAGAAACGAAUUGCUGAAAUGGAAACUCAAAAGGAAAAAAUUCAUGAAGACACCAAAGAAAUUAAUGAGAAGAGCAAUAUACUAUCAAAUGAAAUGAAAGC
rnacentral:sRNA from 1 species